rnacentral:lncRNA from 1 species
CAUGGAAUCAAUAUAGAAAUGAUUAAUGUUAAGAUUUAUAUUCUCUUUUCUUCCAAAUCUUAGAUAUCUGAUGUGUCAUCUCUCCAGAACAUCUCAGAACGGGCUCAUUCAUUGCCACUGCUCAGUAGCCAUAUGUUCCCAGUGGCUGCUACACUGGACACUGCGGUCCUGGGUGGUGGAAGUGGAGGCUUGGCAGCAGGGACUCAAGAACAACAGAGGAGAAAACAGCAUCAGUCUCCCUGUCCUCAGAAAACACAAGUGCAGCAGAUGGGAUCAAGCAGGCAGCGAAUUUGAAGCCCAGGAUGAGACUAAUGAAAAUAGGUGUGAUCUCCUGAAGCGUUUCCAGAGAAGAUCAUUUCAUCUAAACUCAGAUACAUUGGAGGCUGAGCAGCUGGGCAGGAAGACUGGCCCUUCAAGUGACAUUAUGAAUUUUAUUGCAAAUGAGAAGAACAUGUGAACAGCAAUCAG